GAUGCCCCUCCUUCUUCGACUAACCCGCUGCAGAGGAGCCGUGAGAGCCAGGAACUUGUGAGUUUUGUAUGUCCACUCAGGCAUCAUUCACACCUGGUCUGUAGGAAGUUCCUGUCAGAAGGAGGGGGGCACCGCGAGGGCGUCCAGGGGCGGAAGGCGGUGCCUUAGUGCCUCCCUCCUUCUGACAUUGUAAAAGAACCCUAACUGUAUUUUUUUUUUAAUAGUAAUAUAGAUGUAUAUGUGUGUUUUAUGUCCUCAGAUGAGGUUUGAAGUGUCUGUGUGGUGCAGCUGGCCUGGUCUGUCUCUAUACAGUCGAGGCUGCACCCACCUAUAAAAAGGUGGAGGCUCACCAGGACAUGCACACCUCACAAGUUCCUGGCUCUCUCGGCUCGGUUGAAGACGGGUUUCUUCGAGAAGGGGAGGGCAGUGAGGCACAGUCCCCCGCCCCCCGACGCCCCUCGCGAUGCCCCUCCUUCUUCGACUAACCCGCUGCAGAGGAGCCGUGAGAGCCAGGAACUUGUGAGUUUUGUAUGUCCACUCAGGCAUCAUUCAUACCUGGUCUGUAGGAAGUUCCUGUCAGAAGGAGGGGGCACCGCGGGGGCGUCCAGGGGCGGAAGGCGGUGCCUUAGUGCCUCCCUCCUUCUGACAUUGUAAAAGAACCCUAACUGUAUUGUUUUUUUUAAUAGUAAUAUAGAUGUAUAUGUAUAUGUGUGUUUUGUGUCCUCAGAUGAGGUUUGAAGUGUCUGUGUGGUGCAGCUGGCCUGGUCUGUCUCUAUACAGUCGAGGCUGCACCCACCUAUAAAAAGGUGGAGGCUCACCAGGACAUGCACACCUCACAAGUUCCUGGCUCUCUCGGCUCGGUUGAAGACGGGUUUCUUCGAGAAGGGGAGGGCAGUGAGGCACAGUCCCCCGCCCCCCGACGCCCCUCGCGAUGCCCCUCCUUCUUCGACUAACCCGCUGCAGAGGAGCUGUGAGAGCCAGGAACUUGUGAGUUUUGUAUGUCCACUCAGGCAUCAUUCAUACCUGGUCUGUAG
ensembl:lncRNA